rnacentral:rRNA from 1 species
CGGAGGGUGCAAGCGUUAUCCGGAUUCACUGGGUUUAAAGGGUGCGUAGGUGGGUAAGUAAGUCAGUGGUGAAAUCUCCGGGCUUAACCCGGAAACUGCCAUUGAUACUAUUUGUCUUGAAUACUGUGGAGGUCAGCGGAAUAUGUCAUGUAGCGGUGAAAUGCUUAGAUAUGACAUAGAACACCAAUUGCGAAGGCAGCUGGCUACACAAAUAUUGACACUGAGGCACGAAAGCGUGGGGAUCAAACAGGAUUAGAUACCCUGGUAGUCCACGCCCUAAACUAUGGAUACUCGACAUUUGCGAUAAACUGCAAGUGUCUGAGCGAAAGCAUUAAGUAUCCCACCUGGGGAGUACGGUCGCAAGAUUA